rnacentral:rRNA from 1 species
GACGAACGCUGGCGGCGUGCUUAACACAUGCAAGUCGAACGGAAAGGCCCUGCUUUUGUGGGGUGCUCGAGUGGCGAACGGGUGAGUAACACGUGAGUAACCUGCCCUUGACUUUGGGAUAACUUCAGGAAACUGGGGCUCAUACCGGAUAGGAGCUCCUGCUGCAUGGUGGGGGUUGGAAAGUUUCGGCGGUUGGGGAUGGACUCGCGGCUUAUCAGCUUGUUGGUGGGGUAGUGGCUUACCAAGGCUUUGACGGGUAGCCGGCCUGAGAGGGUGACCGGCGACAUUGGGACUGAGAUACGGCCCAGACUCCUACGGGAGGCAGCAGUGGGGAAUAUUGCACAAUGGGCGGAAGCCUGAUGCAGCAACGCCGCGUGCGGGAUGACGGCCUUCGGGUUGUAAACCGCUUUCGCCUGUGACGAAGCGUGAGUGACGGUAAUGGGUAAAGAAGCACCGGCUAACUACGUG